rnacentral:rRNA from 1 species
AAAUGAAUUGACGGGGGCCCGCACAAGCGGUGGAGCAUGUGGUUUAAUACGUCACUAACCGUAGAACCUUACCCAGACUUGACAUCCGUUGUAAGUCCGUGAAAGCGGUACCCUCCUAUGGUAACAUAGGACAGCGAGACAGGUGUUGCAUGGCUGUCGUCAGCUCGUGUCGUGAGAUGUUGGGUUAAGUCCCGCAACGAGCGCAACCCUCAUCCGAUGUUGCCAGCGUAAAGUCGGGAACUCUUCGGAAACUGCCCGUGCAAGCGGGAGGAAGGUGGGGAUGACGUCAAGUCAGCAUGGCCCUUACGUCUGGGGCUACACACAUGCUACAAUGGACGUGAACAAAGGGCAGCGAAAUCGCGAGAUGGAGCUAAUCUCAAAAAUACGUCCUCAGUUCGGAUUGCAGUCUGCAACUCGACUGCAUGAAGUCGGAAUCGCUAGUAACCGCAGGUCAGCUAAACUGCGGUGAAUACGUUCCCGGGCCUUGUACACACCGCCCGU